GACGAACGCUGGCUGCGUGCUUAACACAUGCAAGUCGAACGCUGAAACCCUGGUGCUUGCACCGGGGUGGAUGAGUGGCGAACGGGUGAGUAACACGUGAGUAACCUGCCCCGACUUCGGGAUAAGCCCGGGUAACUGGGUCUAAUACCGGAUAUGAGCGCCCCUCGCAUGAGGGAUGCUGGAAAGUCUUUUCGGUUGGGGGUGGGCUCGCGGCCUAUCAGUUUGUUGGUGAGGUAAUGGCUCACCAAGACGACGACGGGUAGCCGGCCUGAGAGGGCGAACGGCCACACUGGGAAUGAGACACGGCCCAGACUCCUACGGGAGGCAGCAGUGGGGAAUAUUGCACAAUGGGGGAAACCCUGAUGCAGCGACGCAGCGUGCGGGAUGACGGCCUUCGGGUUGUAAACCGCUUUCAGCAGGGAAGAAGCCCCUUGGGGUGACGGUACCUGCAGAAGAAGUACCGGCUAACUACGUGCCAGCCGCCGCUGUAA
rnacentral:rRNA from 1 species